UAAUGUAUGGGGAUCUGCCCGAUAGAGGGGAAUAACUACUGGAAACGGUGGCUAAUACCGCAUAAUGUCUACGGACCAAAGCAGGGGCUCUUCGGACCUUGCACUAUCGGAUGAACCCAUGUGGGAUUAGCUAGUAGGUGGGGUAAAGGCUCACCUAGGCGACGAUCUCUAGCUGGUCUGAGAGGAUGAUCAGCCACACUGGGACUGAGACACGGCCCAG
rnacentral:rRNA from 1 species